rnacentral:rRNA from 1 species
AUUGAACGCUGGCGGCAGGCCUAACACUUGCAAGUCAAGCGGAUGAAGGGAGCUUGCUCCUGGAUUCAGCGGCGGACGGGUGAGUAAUGCCUAGGAAUCUGCCUGGUAGUGGGGGAUAACGUCCGGAAACGGGCGCUAAUACCGCAUACGUCCUGAGGGAGAAAGUGGGGGAUCUUCGGACCUCACGCUAUCAGAUGAGCCUAGGUCGGAUUAGCUAGUUGGUGGGGUAAAGGCCUACCAAGGCGACGAUCCGUAACUGGUCUGAGAGGAUGAUCAGUCACACUGGAACUGAGACACGGUCCAGACUCCUACGGGAGGCAGCAGUGGGGAAUAUUGGACAAUGGGUGAAAGCCUGAUCCAGCCAUGCCGCGUGUGUGAAGAAGGUCUUCGGAUUGUAAAGCACUUUAAGUUGGGAGGAAGGGCAGUAAGUUAAUACCUUGCUGUUUUGACGUUACCAACAGAAUAAGCACCGGCUAACUUCGUG